CGGUACGGGUGAGUAACACGUGGGAUCAUCUGCCCUGGAGUGGGGAAUAACGAUGGGAAACCGUCGCUAAUACCGCAUAAUCCCGAGAGGGGAAAGCAGAAAUGCGCUCAAGGAGGAGUCCGCGGCCGAUUAGCUUGUUGGUAGGGUAAUGGCCUACCAAGGCUGCGAUCGGUAGCCGGCCUGAGAGGGCACACGGCCACACUGGCACUGAAACACGGGCCAG
rnacentral:rRNA from 1 species